rnacentral:tRNA from 1 species
UCCUGGUGGCUCAAACAGUAAAGAAUCUGCCUGCAAUGCAGGAGACCCAGGUUCAAUUCCUGGGUCAGGAA